rnacentral:rRNA from 1 species
UACGGGGGGGGCAAGCGUUGUUCGGAAUUACUGGGCGUAAAGGGUUUGUAGGUGGCUCGCUAAGUCAGACGUGAAAUCCCUCAGCUUAACUGGGGAACUGCGUCUGAGACUGGCAAGCUUGAGUGCAGGAGAGGAACGCGGAAUUCCAGGUGUAGCGGUGAAAUGCGUAGAUAUCUGGAGGAACACCGGUGGCGAAGGCGGCGUUCUGGACUGUAACUGCCACUGAUGAACGAAAGCCAGGGGAGCAAACGGG